rnacentral:rRNA from 1 species
CCUACGGGGGGCAGCAGUAGGGAAUCUUCCGCAAUGGACGAAAGUCUGACGGAGCAACGCCGCGUGAGCGAAGAAGGUCUUCGGAUCGUAAAGCUCUGUUGUUAGGGAAGAACAAGUAUCGGAGGAAAUGCCGGUACCUUGACGGUACCUGACGAGAAAGCCACGGCUAACUACGUGCCAGCAGCCGCGGUAAUACGUAGGUGGCAAGCGUUGUCCGGAAUUAUUGGGCGUAAAGCGCGCGCAGGCGGUCCUUUAAGUCUGAUGUGAAAUCUUGCGGCUCAACCGCAAGCGGUCAUUGGAAACUGGGGGACUUGAGUGCAGAAGAGGAAAGCGGAAUUCCACGUGUAGCGGUGAAAUGCGUAGAGAUGUGGAGGAACACCAGUGGCGAAGGCGGCUUUCUGG